CAGCAGCCGCGGGAAUACGUAGGGUGCGAGCGUUAAUCGGAAUUACUGGGCGUAAAGCGUGCGCAGGCGGUUCGUUAAGACAGAUGUGAAAUCCCCGGGCUUAACCUGGGAACUGCAUUUGUGACUGGCGAGCUAGAGUAUGGCAGAGGGGGGUAGAAUUCCACGUGUAGCAGUGAAAUGCGUAGAUAUGCGGAGGAACACCGAUGGCGAAGGCAGCCCCCUGGGCCAAUACUGACGCUCAUGCACGAAAGCGUGGGGAGCAAACAGGAUUAGAUACCCCAGUAGUCCCUGUCUCUUAUAC
rnacentral:rRNA from 1 species